UCUAUCUUUUUAAUUGAACUGUAUAUUGUUAAUUUGAUAUGUAAUUUCAAUAUAAAUUAAGGACGAAUGUGUUGAGUCCAAUUUUGAAGCUGUUCUGUUAUUUUCAAACUAAUAUCAGUUAUUUAACUUAUGCAUAUCUAUUGUUUGAUAAAAUGCCACAAAGAGAUUUUUGAUCCUGUAGUGUAAUAAUUGGUGGGUUUGCUAAUGUUAUGGCUGCAGCAUAUUUUAUAGAGAGUAAAGUUGUACAAAUUGAAAAUUGCUAACCGGGUGUUUGAAGUGAAUUUGUUUCAGCUUAGGUUUCUAUUAGGCUUCAAGAACAGUAAAAAAACUCCAUUGUUUAUCAUCUUUUUUUGGUGGGAUUUUUCAAUUUGGCAGUUGCGGCAUUCUCUUUGCACCACUCCAUGUAGAUAUGAAGGUCCCAUUUGUAUUGCUAUUGUCUUUUUGCAGUUGCUGCUAUCAAAUAGUCCUUUACAAUCUUCAAGCUUUCGUUCACGGAAAUAGAAUGCAAGGAGGCAUACUUAUGUGACAGUCCUGCUUCAGCCAAUUCUCUACACACCAUGCAAGGCUGAGAAAUGAUGUUAUAAUAAGCGUGAAUUGCUCCUUCAAUAUCAAAACCAUCAAGCUUUUGGAAUUCAAGAAGCCUAUCCAGUACUUUAGAACUAUAAACUGCCUGAGCAACUAGCUAUAUGAAACUUGUUGUACUCGGACCAUCUUCUUCAUGGAUAGCUCCCUUUAAUGCAUCUUCAAAAACGUUUUCAAUUACAAUACUAGUUUUUGGGGUACCACCACCCAAACCUCCAAAUAAAAGAGAACCAUUAACGAAAAUUGUUCCGAGGGGUAGCAUAGAGAGCACUUGUUGCUUUUUGUAUUCUUCUCGAGCAUUAUUGCUUUUUGUAUUUUUUUUUUGUAAAUUUUAAAUCCUAUGAUUUAUGCUUGUU